rnacentral:rRNA from 1 species
GUUGUGGAAACUAUUCGCUAAAGGGUGCUCGGGAGGCUACGCCGUAAAACAAACCCAUUUCUAAGGUUGACCUCGGAUCAGGUAGGGAUACCCGCUGAACUUAAGCAUAUCAAUAAGCGGAGGAAAAGAAACCAACAGGGAUUGCUCUAGUAACGGCGAGUGAAGCAGCAAUAGCUCAAAUUUGAAAUCUGGCGUCUUCGACGUCCGAGUUGUAAUUUGUAGAGGAUGCUUCUGAGUAACCACCGACCUAAGUUCCUUGGAACAGGACGUCAUAGAGGGUGAGAAUCCCGUAUGCGGUCGGAAAGGUGCUCUAUACGUAGCUCCUUCGACGAGUCGAGUUGUUUGGGAAUGCAGCUCUAAAUGGGAGGUAAAUUUCUUCUAAAGCUAAAUAUUGGCCAGAGACCGAUAGCGCACAAGUAGAGUGAUCGAAAGAUGAAAAGCACUUUGGAAAGAGAGUUAAAAAGCACGUGAAAUUGUUAAAAGGGAAGGGAUUGCAACCAGACUUGCUCGCGGUGUUCCGCCGGUCUUCUGACCGGUCUACUCGCCGCGUUGCAGGCCAGCAUCGUCUGGUGCCGCUGGAUAAGACUUGAGGAAUGUAGCUCCCUCGGGAGUGUUAUAGCCUCUUGUGAUGCAGCGAGCGCCGGGCGAGGUCCGCGCUUCGGCUAGGAUGCUGGCGUAAUGGUCGUAAUCCGCCCGUCUUGAAACACGGACCAAGGAGUCUAACAUCUAUGCGAGUGUUCGGGUGUCAAACCCCUACGCGUAAUGAAAGUGAACGGAGGUGAGAACCGCAAGGUGCAUCAUCGACCGAUCCUGAUGUCUUCGGAUGGAUUUGAGUAAGAGCAUAGCUGUUGGGACCCGAAAGAUGGUGAACUAUGCCUGAAUAGGGUGAAGCCAGAGGAAACUCUGGUGGAGGCUCGCAGCGGUUCUGACGUGCAAAUCGAUCGUCAAAUUUGGGUAUAGGGGCGAAAGAUUAAUCGAACCAUCAUUUCCCCCUUGGCCU